UGAAUACGAGAUGCUACGGCGUUGAAGCAGUGUAUGUCAGACUUCCAAGAAAAGCUCGCAAUGUCAUAAAUAAAGAAUGCCUGUACCAUAACCGACACAGGUGGGUAGGUAGAGUAUACUAAGGGGCGCGAGAUAACUCUCUCUAAGGAACUCGGCAAAAUAACUCCGUAACUUCGGGAGAAGGAGUGCCUUCUUUAAGAAGGUUGCAAUAACAAGAUCCAAGCAACUGUUUAUCAAAAACACAGGUCUCCGCUAAGUCGUAAGACGAUGUAUGGGGGCUGACGCCUGCCCAGUGCCAGAAGGUUAAAGAAAUUGGUUAGCAUUUGCGAAGCUGAUGACUGAAGCCCUGGUGAACGGCGGCCGUAACUAUAACGGUCCUAAGGUAGCGAAAUUCCUUGUCGGGUAAGUUCCGACCCGCACGAAAGGCGUAAUGAUUUGGAUACUGUCUCGGAGAGGGACUCGGUGAAAUAGACUUGUCUGUGAAGAUGCGGACUACCUGCACCAGGACAGAAAGACCCUAUGAAGCUUUACUGUAACUUGAAAUUGAAAUUGGACUUUAUUUGCGCAGCAUAGGUGGAAGGCGUUGACUAAUCUUGUGGGAUUGGUGGAGCCAUCAGUGAGAUACCACUCCUAUAAUGUUAGAUUUCUAACUUUGAAUCAUGAUCUGGUCAAAGAACAGUUUCAGGCGGGCAGUUUGACUGGGGCGGUCGCCUCCCAAAUGGUAACGGAGGCGUACAAAGGUUUCCUCUGAACGGGUAGAAAUCGUAUCUAGAGUGUAAAGGCAUAAGGAAGCUUGACUGUGAGACCUACAAGUCGAGCAGGGACGAAAGUCGGUCUUAGUGAUCUGACGGUGCUGAGUGGAAAGGCCGUCACUCAACGGAUAAAAGUUACUCUAGGAUAACAGGCUGAUCUCCCCCAAGAGUUCACAUCGACGGGGAGGUUUGGCACCUCGAUGUCGGCUCAUCGCAUCCUGGGGCGGUAGUACGUCCCAAGGGUUGGGCUGUUCGCCCAUGAAAGCGGUACGCGAGCUGGGUUCAGAACGUCGUGAGACAGUUCGGUCCAUAUCCGGUGUAGGCGUUAGAAUAUUGAGAGGAGCCUUCUUUAGUACGAGAGGACCGAGAAGGACAUACCUCUGGUGUACCAGUUAUCGUGCCAACGGUAAACGCUGGGUAGCUAUGUAUGGAGAGGAUAACCGCUGAAAGCAUCUAAGUGGGAAGCCCACCUCAAGAUGAG
rnacentral:rRNA from 1 species